AGUUAAACUCAACACAAAUGCAAAUGAGAGCAGAAGAUUGCAGCUGAAGAGGCAGCCAUAUCUUGGCAUUCUUAUUGUCCGGGGACGAAGUUAGUAGCAUAUGCCCAUGCGUUGUUGGCGACAGGGUCAGCAAGAUGGUCGUAAAGGUUCUGAACAGGUCCCUUGCCGGUAACAAUGGCUUGAACAAAGAAACCAAACAUGGAGAACAUAGCCAAUCGGCCGUUCUUGAGUUCCUUCACCUUCAACUCUGCAAAUGCAUCAGGGUCAUCAGCAAGACCAAGAGGGUCAAAGGCACCACCAGGGUAAAGUGGGUCUAAUCCUUCACCAAGUGGUCCUCCACCAAUUCUGUAACCUUCAACGAAUCCCAUGAGCACAACCUGAGUAGCCCAGAUUGCAAGAAUGCUUUGAGCAUGGAUCAAGUUUGGGUUGCCCAAAUAGUCAAGGCCACCCUCAGAGAAGAUCUGGGCACCAGCCUUAAACCAG
rnacentral:lncRNA from 1 species